UUGUGAUGUUACUACCGGGCAAGCUGAAAAGUUAAUUGCUUGGCCACGGUGGGAAUCGAACCCACAUGUUAUGACAAAGAAAAUUUAGUGUACAAACUGCGGAAAAUGUCUCCGAUUGCUCGGCUACCAGUUUAAAAAAUGGAAUCACAUUGGAAGUUUCGCCCAUCAGCAUCAAAGGGGGAAAUAAGGUGAUACGGACCCCUCCUCCAGUUUUUCAAGGUGACUUUUCGAAUUAACACUUGUUUACCAAAUGGAAAACACAGUAGACCAUCAUCACUUGGAAAGAAUAUGAAAACUUGCAACAAACUAG